AGUGAUCGCUGGCGGUAGGCCUAACACAUGCAAGUCGAACGGCAGCACAGUAAGUGCUUGCUCUUACGGGUGGCGCGUGGCGGACUGGUGAGGAAUACAUCGGAAUCUACUUUUUCGUUGGGGAUAACGUAGUGAAACUUACGCUAAUACCGCAUACGACCUACGGGUGAAAGCAGGGGAUCUUCGGACCUUGCGCGAUUGAAUGAGCCAAUGUCGGAUUAGCUAGUUGGCGGGGUAAAGGCCCACCAAGGCGACGAUCCGUAGCUGGCCUGAGAGGAUGGUCAGACACACUGGAAGAGAGAAACGGUACAGACUCCUGCGGGAGGCAGCAGUGGGGAAUAUUGGACAAUGGGCGAGAGGCUGAUCCAGCCAAACCGCGUGGGUGAAGAAGGACUUCGGGUUGUAAAGCCCUUUUGUUGGGAAAGAAAAGCAGCAGGUUAAGACCCCGCUGUUAUGACGGUACCAAAAGAAUAAGCACCGGCUAACUUCGUG
rnacentral:rRNA from 1 species